CAGAGAUUAUCCCAGGAUAGAGGCUUCAUUUGUUUCCCUGCACACUGCUCAGAUCUGUUAUUUGCAGAACAGGUGCAUGAAAAGCCCGAGGAUGCUGUCAGCAUUUACAACCCCAACGCUACAGAAGGACGAAAAGGUCACAGCACGACGGGCUGCGCCGUCGCUUCCCACCGCGCGCAUGCGCAGCAUUCAGGCGCAUGCGCAGUGGUGACUCACGCCCACAUGACCACGGUCCGGGGACAACAAAAUGGCCGCGCCCAUGUGCGCUUGGAUGUCGGCUGGGGAGAGGGUUUAGUUCCGUCCUGUUCCUGGUGGAAGUAGGCUCUCCGUGCCACGCCGCGUUGCUGCGUCUUGCUGUCAUCCGUGCAUGGAGCCGCGGGAGUCCUGGGCGGCCUUGGCGGCUGGUGGAAUUGCUGGUGUCUUUGUCGACUUGAUCCUGUUUCCUCUGGAUACUGUAAAAACCAGACUGCAAAGUCCCCAGGGAUUUAGGAAAGCUGGUGGCUUUCGUGGCAUCUAUGCUGGCGUUCCCUCCACUGCUAUAGGAUCCUUUCCAAAUGCUGCUGCAUUUUUUAUCACCUAUGAGAAUGUGAAAUCUGUGCUGCACCAUGACUCUACAUCAUACUUGACUCCAGUAACACACAUGGUGGCUGCCUCUUUUGGGGAAGUGGUUGCAUGCCUCAUACGGGUUCCAUCUGAAGUCGUCAAGCAAAGGGCCCAGGUUUCACCUUCUGCUGGAACCUUUCGGAUUCUUUCCCACACCUUGUACCAUGAGGGUAUUCAAGGACUUUAUCGAGGUUAUAAAAGCACGGUGUUAAGAGAGAUUCCCUUCUCUCUGGUACAGUUUCCCCUCUGGGAGUUCUUAAAGGAUCUCUGGUCAUGGAAGCAGGGUCACGUGGUGGAUUCUUGGCAGUCAGCAGUCUGUGGAGCUUUUGCAGGUGGAUUUGCAGCUGCAGUUACCACACCUCUCGAUGUAGCGAAGACGAGAAUUAUGCUGGCAAAGGCUGGUUCCACCACUGCUAGCGGAAAUGUUCUGGCUGCCCUUGGUGGCAUCUGGAGGACACAAGGACUGCCAGGCUUGUUUGCAGGUGUCGUCCCGCGGAUGGCAGCCAUCAGCCUGGGAGGGUUCAUCUUCUUGGGGACCUAUGAGAAGACACGCCAGCUGCUGCUCUGAGCUGUGCCUUGUGGAAGAGCCUGCAAAGCUGCUGACCCCGAGGAGGAGUCUGCCCACAAGCGCAGCCUUCUUCCUCCUGCCGCCUCUUGGCUGCGCCCGCAGCAGCUGUCAAGCAGCCUGAACUCCACGUUCACCGUUAACGAAAACCUCCAGGCUCGUCCCCUUCCUGUGCCCUGCAGGACCUGCUCUGCACCCAGCACACCGCAGGAAGGACCUGUCCUCGUACAGCAGCAGCAGGCAAGUGGGGAGAGGGGCUGCUCUGCACACAGCAGUGCACUGAUCCUGCUGGAAAUGACACUUAGUUCUGGGAUUACAAGAGAGGAGGACGUGAAAAAUACACUUCAGUGUUUUUCCUCUCCUGCCUGUUUGCCUUGAGCUCUUAGAUACAUUUUGGCAGUUAUUUCAGGUUUACUGAAACUUGAAAAAUUCAUCUUAUUCCAUUCCUGGGAUAAUGUUGAAUCUCAAGGCAUUGGCUUAAAGGGUAUUUCUUUCCCAUUUUAAAAUACUGUAACUCCUACAUGUGUUAAGGGAAUUAUCUGAUACUCUCAGAAAAGCUGUGCUGUACUUCAAAUUAGCAAUUGAAUAAUAUUUUUUAAUAUACAGAAAUUGAAUUUAGUUUAAGUGGGAAUUCACGCUUAUCUCAAUCACAAAGUUGCCUCCGUGAUUUCUAGACAGGGUGGGGUUUGGGUUUGAGAAAGCCAAAGUUGUUCACAACUGCAGCUGAAUCUGGUGCUAUCCUGGCCCCAUUUUUCUUACAUGCUUACACAUACACCCCAUCUGCUCUGCUUUCAGUGCCAAGAUAACAGUACUGCCAGGCACUUCAGCAGUCCAUGUAUUAGAAUUGUGUUUCAAAUGAGUUCUUCAUUGUAUCUUUUAGUACAGCCCCCAACUUCCACCCCAUCCCCAGGUCAGACUGCCAAAGUCUCCCACUGCUCAACGGUAUCUGAGGUUACAUUUGUGGGUCUGACUUCACAAAUGGAUGUUCUGGCAGUGAUUUUGUACCUUCAUCAGAGAAAGUCAGAAAAGAGUAAAGCAAUGGAUCAGAAUU